rnacentral:misc_RNA from 1 species
ACGUGCCGUGUCGCCCGGCCUCUAUCCGGGGCCGGAGCGCUCACCUGGCCACCCGUGUUUACUUACCUGUUGCUUCGGCGAGCCUGCGGGAUUGCCCGCUGCCGGGGAACCUGGUUUCCGGGCUUGUUGCUCGCCGAAGACUAUUACAAACUCUGGUUAAAGAUUGGUGUCUGAGUCGGUUAAACAAUCAGUUA